UGUUUUAGGUGGACAUAAUAGAGUCCUGUACACAGCUGUAGUGAUUGCAGUCGGAUGUGGAGUUUUAUUUCUUAUCUGCAUCAUCAUGUUCAUGAGGAAGAGACAAGGAAGUGCAGUGUCAGACGCAAGGCAGAUUCAGCUUCGCCUGCCUUCCAGCUCAGACAGAAACCACUUUGAUGAUGGUCUGUAUGACAGAGUUUCUGCCAACAGAUCAGAUCAGACCGCAGGACAGACAAAUUACUCAAACAUCCAACACAUCAGAAACAAUGAAAGCGAUUAUGAGAAU